UACGUAGGGGGCUAGCGUUGUCCGGAAUCAUUGGGCGUAAAGAGCGCGUAGGCGGCUAGACAAGUCCGGUGUGAAAGUCACAGGCUCAACCUGUGAAUGCCGCUGGAAACUGUUUGGCUAGAGUCCGGAAGGGGCGAGUGGAAUUCCUGGUGUAGCGGUGAAAUGCGCAGAUAUCAGGAGGAACACCUAUGGCGAAGGCAGCUCGCUGGGACGGUACUGACGCUGAGGCGCGAAAGCGUGGGGAGCGAACAGG
rnacentral:rRNA from 1 species